AUCAUUAAGUCGCUCUACAUCCCAUGAAACCAGGGACCUAGCUCAGCCUUCCAUGAUGACCAUGGGGUUGCAGGGUGAGUGGGGGAAGCAGAAGGAGAGGAAGAACGAGAUUCUUAAAGAGCCUUCAAGGAACUAGCAUGGAGCCCGACACAGGGCUUGAUCUCACAACCCAGGGAUCAUGACCUGAGCCAAAAUCAAGAGUCAGAUGCUUAACCAACUGAAUGAUGGUAGAACACAUCACCUUCCAACUGGAUAAAAUAAUGAUAAUAUAAUCUGUUGGAAGUGUGAAACACAUAGUCACCAUGUCCGUUCUUUUUCAGAGAAGUCAUAAAGAGACAAAGUUCUGAAUUGAAAGCCGGCAUAGGGACAUGAACCCCAAAUUGAUGCCUUCUUUCCCCCUUGAGGAAGGUUAUCUUCUAGAGUAAAGGAGGAGAGCCUGAGAAGCUGAGAAGAGCUUUCAGAAUAUGUACAGGACUGAGGUACAAACAUCGGAACUCCCUGCCCACCAAGACUCAGAGGCCAUGUGAAAGCCCUAAAGAUACUUAUGUCCUGCACACCUGAUUC
rnacentral:lncRNA from 1 species